GCUGACGAGUGGCGGACGGGUGAGUAAUGUCUGGGAAACUGCCUGAUGGAGGGGGAUAACUACUGGAAACGGUGGCUAAUACCGCAUAACGUCGCAAGACCAAAGAGGGGGACCUUCGGGCCUCUUGCCAUCAGAUGUGCCCAGAUGGGAUUAGCUUGUUGGUGAGGUAACGGCUCACCAAGGCGACGAUCCCUAGCUGGUCUGAGAGGAUGACCAGCCACACUGGAACUGAGACACGGUCCAGACUCCUACGGGAGGCAGCAGUGGGGAAUAUUGCACAAUGGGCGCAAGCCUGAUGCAGCCAUGCCGCGUGUAUGAAGAAGGCCUUCGGGUUGUAAAGUACUUUCAGCGGGGAGGAAGGUGUUGUGGUUAAUAACCACAGCAAUUGACGUUACCCGCAGAAGAAGCACCGGCUAACUCCGUGCCAGCAGCCGCGGUAAUACGGAGGGUGCAAGCGUUAAUCGGAAUUACUGGGCGUAAAGCGCACGCAGGCGGUCUGUCAAGUCGGAUGUGAAAUCCCCGGGCUCAACCUGGGAACUGCAUUCGAAACUGGCAGGCUUGAGUCUUGUAGAGGGGGGUAGAAUUCCAGGUGUAGCGGUGAAAUGCGUAGAGAUCUGGAGGAAUACCGGUGGCGAAGGCGGCCCCCUGGACAAAGACUGACGCUCAGGUGCGAAAGCGUGGGGAGCAAACAGGAUUAGAUACCCUGGUAGUCCACGCCGUAAACGAUGUCUACUUGGAGGUUGUGCCCUUGAGGCGUGGCUUCCGGAGCUAACGCGUUAAGUAGACCGCCUGGGGAGUACGGCCGCAAGGUUAAAACUCAAAUGAAUUGACGGGGGCCCGCACAAGCGGUGGAGCAUGUGGUUUAAUUCGAUGCAACGCGAAGAACCUUACCUGGUCUUGACAUCCACAGAAGAAUCCAGAGAUGGAUUUGUGCCUUCGGGAACUGUGAGACAGGUGCUGCAUGGCUGUCGUCAGCUCGUGUUGUGAAAUGUUGGGUUAAGUCCCGCAACGAGCGCAACCCUUAUCCUUUGUUGCCAGCGGUUAGGCCGGGAACUCAAAGGAGACUGCCAGUGAUAAACUGGAGGAAGGUGGGGAUGACGUCAAGUCAUCAUGGCCCUUACGACCAGGGCUACACACGUGCUACAAUGGCGCAUACAAAGAGAAGCGACCUCGCGAGAGCAAGCGGACCUCAUAAAGUGCGUCGUAGUCCGGAUUGGAGUCUGCAACUCGACUCCAUGAAGUCGGAAUCGCUAGUAAUCGUGGAUCAGAAUGCCACGGUGAAUACGUUCCCGGGCCUUGUACACACCGCCCGUCACACCAUGGGAGUGGGUUGCAAAAGAAGUAGGUAGCUUAACCUUCGGGAGGGCGCUUACCACUUUGUGAUUCAUGACUGGGGUGAAGUCGUAACAAGGUAACCGUAGGGGAACCUGCGGUUGGAUCACCUCCUUA
rnacentral:rRNA from 1 species